rnacentral:rRNA from 1 species
GACGAACGCUGGCGGCGUGCUUAACACAUGCAAGUCGAACGGGGAUAUUUAGAAGAAGCUACUUGUAGUGGACUUUAAAUAUUCUAGUGGCGAACGGGUGAGUAACGCGUGAGGACUUACCCAUUUCCGGGGGAUAACAGUUGGAAACAGCUGCUAAUACCGCAUAAGCCUAAGGGUAAAAGAAGUAAUUCGGGAAUGGAGAGACUCGCGUCCUAUCAGCUAGUAGGUGAGAUAAGAGCUCACCUAGGCUAAGACGGGUAACCGGACUGAGAGGUCGAACGGUCACACUGGAACUGAGACACGGUCCAGACUCCUACGGGAGGCAGCAGUGGGGAAUUUUGGGCAAUGGGGGGAACCCUGACCCAGCGACGCCGCGUGAGUGAAGAAGGCCUUAGGGUUGUAAAGCUCUGUUCUAUGGGACGAAGUCCUUGACUGUGAAUAAUGGUCAAGGUUGACGGUACCAUAGGAGGAAGCCCGGCUAACUACGUGCCAGCAGCCGCGGUAAGCACGGAGAGUA